GCGUAUAUUAAAGUUGUUGCAGUUAAAACGCUCGUAGUCGGGUUUCGGGUCGGGCCGAGCGGUCUGCCGAUGGGUAUGCACUGUUUGGCGCGGCCUUCUUUCCGGAGACCGCGGCUACUCUUAACUGAGCGGGCGUGGGAGACGGAUCGUUUACUUUGAAAAAAUCAGAGUGUUUCAAGCAGGCAGCUCGCUCUUGCAUGGUACAGCAUGGGAUGAUUGAAUAGGACUCCGGUGCUAUUUUGUUGGUUUAUGGGACCGAAGUAAUGAUUAACAGGGACAGUUGGGGCCGUUUAUAUUUCGUUGUCAGAGGUGAAAUUCUUGGAUUUACGAAAGAUAAACUUCUGCGAAAGCAUUCGGCAAGGAUGUUUUCAUUAA
rnacentral:rRNA from 1 species